GAACUGUCCCUAAAUGUUAAUUACUCCGAUGUGACGGCGCAAUCUGCAAUGUGUAGGAUAAAAGGUCUGCUCGCCAUAAAGGACCGCACGAAAAAUAGUGGCCUGCGCUGCCCUCAGACCGCAUCCCGAUCUCCACGACGAGAUUCUCUCUGGUAGAAAGUAAUGGCCUUUGCCUCUGCCGUCACGCCGCCAUCUCUGUUUCUGGUUCCAAGCAAACCCAUCGUCACGAACCCUAGAAAGUUUCCAGUGCCUGCUGUAACGGGCGGGCGAAGAUGUCUGUCGGUUGUCGUGAAGGCCAUUGGAGAUAGCUCCGAUACUUCCUCUGAUGCUAGCAUUGUGAAAGACGUCCAGAAUGCUUGGAGCAACUAUGAAGAUCGAAUUGCCUUUGUUGGUCUAGGAUUUGCAGCCAUCGUUGCAGUUUGGGCCUCCGGUCAUCUAAUUGAGGCUGUUGACAAGCUUCCUCUAUUCCCAAGUGUGUUUGAAUUCAUUGGGAUAUUGUUUUCAUGGUGGUUUAUAUAUCGCUACCUUUUAUUUAAACCAGACAGGGAAGAACUGUCAAAAAUUAUCAAGAAUGCAAUAUCAACUGUUCUUGGCAAGUGAUGUAUCCUUUGAAGAACCAGCAUCUUGGAAGGCCAGAACUGAACUUGUAACAAAGCUCGACGACUUUUGGGAAAAUUAUGCUUGGAUUUCUAUGAUAUCAAUCCCCUAUCAUAUGAAUUAUUAAGUCUGUGAGAUCCAGUGAUUACAAAAGGAGAAGACAAUCCAGUGGCGGCAGCCACCCUACAUCUGAUGCUCUGUAGAAAGAUGAAAAAGCUAUCUAUAACUUGCACUAAAACGAGUACAAACUUUGGAAAUGGGCUCAGUCGACUUGUAAUAAUAAGACUGAGCAAAUCCAUGCCUUGGAAAUAUUACAGAACAAACUAGUGUUGGUUGCUUGUUCA